rnacentral:rRNA from 2 species
CGGAGGAAAAGAAACUAACAAGGAUUCCCCUAGUAACGGCGAGUGAAGCGGGAUGAGCUCAAAUUUAAAAUCUGGCGGCCUCAGGUCGUCCGAGUUGUAGUCUAGAGAAUCGUUUUCCGCGUUGGCCUGUGUACAAGUCCCUUGGAACAGGGCGUCAUAGAGGGUGAGAAUCCCGUCCUUGACACAGACUACCAAUGCUUUGUGAUGCGAUCUCGAAGAGUCGAGUUGUUUGGGAAUGCAGCUCAAAAUGGGUGGUAAAUUCCAUCUAAAGCUAAAUAUUGGCGAGAGACCGAUAGCGAACAAGUACCGUGAGGGAAAGAUGAAAAGCACUUUGGAAAGAGAGUUAAACAGUACGUGAAAUUGUUAAAAGGGAAACGAUUGAAGUCAGUCAUGCUUUCCGAGACUCAGCCGAUUCUGUCGGUGUACUUCUCGGUUGGCAGGCCAGCAUCAGUUUCGAUCUGUGGAAAAGGUUGGAGGGAACGUGGCAUCCUCGGAUGUGUUAUAGCCCUUCUUCGAAUACAUAGAGCGGGACUGAGGAACGCAGCGCGCCUUUUAUUAGGUUGGCCCUCGGGUACAUACGCGCUUAGGAUGCUGGCAUAAUGGCUUUAAACGACCCGUCUU